GAUGAACGCUGGCGGCGUGCCUAAUACAUGCAAGUCGAGCGAACAGACGAGGAGCUUGCUCCUCUGACGUUAGCGGCGGACGGGUGAGUAACACGUGGAUAACCUACCUAUAAGACUGGGAUAACUUCGGGAAACCGGAGCUAAUACCGGAUAAUAUAUUGAACCGCAUGGUUCAAUAGUGAAAGACGGUUUUGCUGUCACUUAUAGAUGGAUCCGCGCCGCAUUAGCUAGUUGGUAAGGUAACGGCUUACCAAGGCAACGAUGCGUAGCCGACCUGAGAGGGUGAUCGGCCACACUGGAACUGAGACACGGUCCAGACUCCUACGGGAGGCAGCAGUAGGGAAUCUUCCGCAAUGGGCGAAAGCCUGACGGAGCAACGGCGCGUGAGUGAUGAAGGUCUUCGGAUCGUAAAACUCUGUUAUUAGGGAAGAACAAAUGUGUAAGUAACUAUGCACGUCUUGACGGUACCUAAUCAGAAAGCCACGGCUAACUACGUG
rnacentral:rRNA from 1 species